CCUAUCGCCUGGUGCCAUGACCUGCGGCACCCAAUGCAGAAUGUGUCCCACAUAGAGGGGGCAGCCCUAAUCAGCAGUAAAGCUGCUACCGUCGCCCCCCUUUAAAAAGCACCCAAGACAGCCGCCUAAUCUGCCUAUAGGAUGCGCCAGUCCCUGUCUGUAAAGUGAGUUCCUUACCAGGAGCCCAGUGACAGAGUCUAAGG